CAAAUCAGUGGAAUCUUGUUUUAUGGAUAUUGAAAUCAGAUCAACAAACAUCAUCCAAAAGAUCUGUUUUUGUUUAUUUAUUAUACUGAAAAUUUUAAUUCACUUGAUAUGUAGAACAAUUCAGUUUCCACAAAAUCUUUCUAGGAUGUACUACUUUUCUAGUUAUUUCAAUAUGUGGUUUCUGUUGACGAAUAUGUUUUAUGCUUAAUGCAGAAAAAGAAGCCAGGGCUGUGUUUUGAAAACUCUCAAAACACAAUGUGCAGCAGUAAAUGGUGCUGAUCAAUCCAAUUUUGUCUUGGUUGAUACCCCUUGAUCAUAUAUUAUCAGGUGUGCUUUUCAAAUGAUGUUUCGUGCUUUGGAAACUACACCAAACAAUUGCAGCCAACUCUUCCUAGCAGUCCAUAUGGUGGAAAUUGUCGGUGUCCUUCUUGUGGAGGAGGUUCGAUAAUAUGAAUUUGUAUUUGGUGUUUGCCAACCAACAACCUAUCAUCACAAGAGUUUUCAAUGAGACAAUGAACCUUUCUUCAUUUUCCAAUGAGCAAGUGGGAUAGUACAAGUUCGGGCUACUUCUGAUCAAAUACAAGGCUGCAUAUGAAAUUGAAGUAAAGAAGGGUAGAUUUCCUCUAGUCUCUUAAUUCCUGGAAUAGAAACCUUUUACUUGAAUUCUUCUUGUGCCAAUGAUCCUUUCUUCAGUGUACACAUGAUUGGCUUCAAGCCUUCACUAUAUAUCGGCUGCAGAAACUUGGUUCUCCACAAUAGCUUGACUCGCUUUCAAUUAAAUGCUAUUUUUGGAAGCUGUUAGAGACGAAAAUAGUUCGCAGGACAUUGAUGAACUAUUGCUGAUUGUUUUUUCAUUUGGUACUUGGUUGUAUUUGUAUUGAGAG